rnacentral:sRNA from 1 species
GUGAGCAGAAGGGUCCUGAGCCAACCUGUGGCAAUAUGUACCCCUAUCGGACCUUCGUUUCCCACCACACCCCUCCACGGACCUUGUUUUAGGCAAUGCACUGACCCAUGCUCCGAUUUUUAGAAAUUUCUAAAAGCCUAGAAAGGAGCCAGGAGGAGGCCGGGAGGAAGCCCUCUAUGGAGAAGGUUCUGCCCAGGCCUCCCCAACUCCUUACCCACCCGUGCCCGAGAGAGAAGUGGCUCGCUGCUCACACCCCCUUCUGCCAGUGCAGCGCGAGUAAGAGCGCCCAAGGGACCACAGCUGGCAUCCCAGGGGUUAAUUCCGGAGCAGCCCAGGUGGAGGUCGAGCCCCCAGCCCCGUCGGCACCUCCAGGCUUCCGAGGCCACCGGAACGGAGGAGGCUGCGGUGGCUCUUUGUCUACCUGCUCUGGGUGUUAAAGAGCCCGCUCGCAGCCUGCAUCGCCGGGGCUCGGGACAGAAGUCAGCGGCGGGGAAAUGGGGCUCUGUCACUUUAAGUACAGCUGGAGCCCUGGGAUGAAAGCAGCUCCAUCAGUAGUGGACUCAGCGAUGCAUCAGACAAUCUCAGUUCAGAAGAAUUCAAUGCCAGCUCCUCACUCAACUCCCUCCCAAGUACUCCCACUGCUUCUCGCAGGAACUCAACAAUAGUGCUACGCACAGACUCAGAGAAGCGCUCACUGGCAGAAAGUGGGCUGAGCUGGUUUAGUGAAUCAGAGGAGAAAGCCCCUAAAAAACUGGAGUACGACAGUGGUAGCCUGAAGAUGGAACCUGGGACUUCUAAGUGGCGGAGGGAGCGGCCUGAGAGCUGUGAUGAUUCAUCCAAGGGUGGAGAACUGAAAAAACCCAUCAGCCUGGGCCACCCUGGUUCCCUGAAGAAGGGCAAGACCCCACCUGUGGCUGUAACUUCCCCCAUCACUCACACAGCCCAGAGUGCCCUCAAAGUCGCAGGCAAACCUGAGGGCAAAGCUACAGACAAGGGUAAGCUUGCAGUGAAGAAUACUGGGCUCCAACGCUCCUCCUCUGAUGCUGGUCGGGACCGCCUGAGUGAUGCUAAGAAGCCCCCCUCGGGCAUUGCUCGCCCCUCCACUUCGGGAUCCUUUGGCUACAAGAAGCCUCCUCCUGCCACAGGCACAGCCACUGUCAUGCAAACCGGUGGUUCAGCCACUCUCAGCAAGAUCCAGAAGUCCUCAGGCAUCCCUGUCAAGCCAGUAAAUGGGCGCAAGACUAGCUUAGAUGUUUCCAACAGUGCAGAGCCAGGAUUCCUGGCUCCUGGAGCCCGUUCUAACAUCCAGUACCGCAGCCUGCCCCGGCCAGCCAAGUCAAGUUCUAUGAGCGUGACCGGCGGGCGGGGUGGACCUCGCCCUGUGAGCAGCAGCAUUGACCCCAGUCUCCUCAGCACCAAGCAGGGAGGCCUUACGCCUUCCAGACUGAAGGAGCCUACCAAGGUAGCCAGUGGGCGGACCACUCCAGCCCCUGUCAAUCAGACAGAUCGGGAAAAGGAGAAGGCCAAAGCCAAGGCAGUGGCCUUGGACUCAGACAACAUCUCCUUGAAGAGUAUUGGCUCCCCAGAAAGUACUCCCAAGAACCAAGCAAGCCACCCCACAGCCACCAAGCUGGCAGAGCUGCCACCAACCCCUCUCAGGGCCACAGCGAAGAGCUUUGUCAAACCACCCUCACUAGCCAAUCUUGACAAGGUCAACUCCAACAGUCUGGAUCUACCAUCAUCCAGUGAUACCACCCAUGCUUCAAAGGUCCCAGAUCUGCAUGCUACAAGCUCAGCAUCUGGGGGCCCUCUCCCUUCCUGCUUCACCCCCAGUCCGGCACCCAUCCUCAAUAUUAACUCAGCCAGCUUCUCCCAGGGCCUGGAGCUAAUGAGUGGUUUCAGUGUGCCAAAAGAGACCCGUAUGUACCCCAAACUCUCAGGCCUGCACAGGAGCAUGGAGUCCCUCCAGAUGCCAAUGAGCCUCCCCAGUGCCUUCCCCAGCAGUACUCCCGUCCCCACCCCACCUGCUCCCCCUGCUGCUCCCACAGAAGAAGAGACGGAAGAGCUGACUUGGAGUGGAAGCCCCAGAGCUGGGCAACUGGACAGUAAUCAGCGGGAUCGGAACACUCUUCCCAAGAAAGGGCUCAGGUACCAGCUUCAGUCCCAGGAGGAGACCAAGGAGAGGCGACAUUCCCAUACCAUUGGUGGGCUGCCUGAAUCCGAUGACCAGUCAGAGCUGCCUUCUCCCCCUGCACUUCCCAUGUCUCUGAGUGCAAAGGGCCAACUUACCAACAUAGUGAGUCCCACUGCGGCCACCACGCCAAGAAUCACCCGCUCCAACAGCAUCCCCACCCACGAGGCGGCCUUCGAGCUGUACAGCGGCUCCCAAAUGGGGAGCACCCUGUCCCUGGCCGAGAGACCCAAGGGAAUGAUUCGGUCAGGAUCCUUCCGAGACCCCACGGAUGAUGUUCACGGCUCAGUGCUGUCCCUGGCCUCCAGUGCCUCCUCCACCUACUCCUCACAAAUCCGGAAGCUUCGUAGGGAACUGGAAUCAUCCCAGGAAAAAGUGGCCACCUUGACGUCUCAGCUUUCUGCCAAUGCUAAUCUGGUGGCUGCUUUUGAGCAGAGCCUGGUGAAUAUGACAUCCCGCCUGCGACACCUGGCAGAGACGGCCGAGGAGAAGAUGGAGUUUCGUUCUUGUCACCCAGGCUGGAGUGCACUGGCGCGAUCUUGGCUAACUGCAAACUCUGCCUCCCAGGACACUGAGCUGCUGGAUUUGCGAGAAACCAUAGACUUUCUGAAGAAAAAGAACUCUGAGGCCCAGGCAGUCAUUCAGGGAGCCCUUAAUGCCUCAGAAACCACACCCAAAGAACUUCGGAUCAAGAGACAAAACUCCUCAGAUAGCAUCUCAAGCCUCAACAGCAUCACUAGCCAUUCCAGCAUCGGCAGCAGCAAGGAUGCUGAUGCG